rnacentral:lncRNA from 14 species
CAGUUAUAGACCCACUGUUCAUUACUUUGGAUGUAUCACAUUUGCUAGUAUGACAAGAUGUAUUAUGUACAAGGAAUUUUACAGAUGGAGAGAAAUAUCCAUGUAAGUUGUUUAUUUGAUUUUUUUUCAAUAUUUUUCUUUCCUGUACUACCCUGUCCAACCUUGGGAUAAUGGAAUUAUUUUAUGCCUCCUGCACUAUCAUCAGGCUUUGGAUGGCUGCACAAAGGCCACUGGCAACAGAACAAGAUGGCUGUAAAAAAAUGCAAAAAAUUGGGAUAGAAAAAAAAGGCAACCAGACCAAACAGAAAGGUGUGGCAGAUUACCCUUGAUAGGGCCAGUUUGGAGACCUUAGAAACAGAUGUUUUUUUCUUCUUACUCUGCAAGAGUUACAAGCCAAUAGUGCCACAAUCCAAAAUUUUUACAUCUGCUGUUGGAUUUUUAAAAAUGUCCUGUUCUUAGUGCCUGUGUUCUGGAAGUCCAUAGAAAUCAACUGAGAAGAGACCAUCAGCUCUUAACCUCUUUCACAGAAUUGGUUUGUCCAUCCAUAAAGAGUCUCAGUAGCAUUGGUAGGAACUGAAUGCAAGUGAGCAUAGUUAGAUAUAGUGUUUUCACUGACCAUCAUAACCUAUUUCUUGCAUGAUCUGUGGCACAAAUUUCCCUAGUUUUGGGUGACAGCUGCCUGUGGUGUGUCAUUAGAUCUCAGGAAAUGUCUAAGAUUCUCUAAGUCUUCCUGAGAAGUUCAAUGUGAAGGCUGCUAUUGGAAGAAGAUGGGGACUCUCUGAGUUGCACACUAUCUUGUAUUUGAAAUCUGCAUUGCUUUUCGUAUUGCUGUAGCAAAUGUACAGUUUAGUGCCAUUCUGUGACAUUUUAACAAAUUUCCAGUUUCUGCAUCAAGCAGACUAAGACUGAUAGUGACAAGUUUGAUGCCCUGUACUGGGAUGUAUGACUGGGGAGAUGGAAAAAGAAAGGACUACCUCAAGGGAAUAAGAUGGUUGCGGUAUAGGCCUGUAAAUGCAAACCUAAAUACUCUUUUUAGUAAGGCUGGUCUAUUAUUGCAACCUAAAGGAAGUUCAUUUAAUUAAUAAUUAAGGUCCUCAUCUGCAAGAUGCUCUCAGUAUGAACUUUAGUGUCAGAAAUGGCCAGGAAUUUAUUUUAUGGUGCAGCUGUGUUGAGAAAAGUCAGCAUCAUCAAAAAUACAAAACUGCUGCCAAAAGCAUAUGCCUAUCCUGUAAAGAUUCAUCAGGUCCAGUACACUGAUUAAAGACAGAGAAAGAUACCAGAAUCCACACUAGAAGAACUGGUAUCAAAUAGCCACCACAAUUACUCUUA